CCCAAAUUCCUGUACUUUAAUGUUUUGUAUGUAUGUCAGUGUGUGUGAGCGUGUGUGUGUGUGUUUUUGUUUUUCAGAUGCAGUCAGUUUGCUUUCUAACUAUGUGAGCUCCUGUAUGGUUACCUUUGGAAGCGUGGAAGUGCAGCGUGACGUCGACUAAUCACCAGAAAGAAGAAUUUAGAUUACAGGCCAUCGCAGACCGGAUGUAAUGUGCAAUGUCUGAACAUUCAAAACCGUUGUUUUUAAUGAAGGAACCCAGUUCAGCGCUCCUCUUGGAGACUCCAGACAGCAGCAGUACUUAAACUUCACCGAGACCCUCCUGGACUAAAGGACUGCUUCAGUUUGUGGAUCAGAGGACGUCCAUCUUCUCAGAUUAAUGAAGUUUUUCUGCUUGGAAACCUUAAGAAGCUCAGCAGGACUGUUAGAGACAUCAGGAGAUCUACUUUAGGAGACACAAAGAGAACCAGAGGAGGAGGUCCAUGGACUCUAAGCAUCAUUGUUCAGCAUCAACUUUGUCACUAUCAUCAUUACUGUUAUCAUCAUCGCUGUGAAAGAAGAAUAAGUCUGGACAAAGUCACCAUCCCUGCUGUAGUCAACAUCAUCACCACCAUAAUUUAGGAUAUGGACAUCAACAAACAUGGUUCUCAUGAGGAGCAGCAUCAUCACUGAUACUGACUUCAUCACAGUCCUAAUUAUCAUCAUUAUUAUCUUUGAGCCGUGGACACAGACAGUGGACAGUUGUGUAAAUGUAAAUGCUCUGUAAAUGUGAUUACCAUAGUUUAUUACAGUUGUAUUCAUAUUGUGACUAUAAAGGUCUCAUUUCAAUUACAAA